ACAAUGAAACAGCCAUCUUUUGAGUUUUGAAUUCUAACCUCGACGGCAAAAACGUCGCGGGACAGUGCCUGAUGGGCAGUUUUAAUGGGGCGUUAUCCUCCAAAAAGUAACGGAGGAGUUUAUUAAGGUUGGCUUAGCCCGGAUGGAAAUCGGGCCGGACGUGUAAAGGCACAUGCCAGCUUAACUGCAAGACCGACAAGUCGCGCAGAUGCGAAAGCAGAACUUAGUGACCCGACGACACUUUAUAGAAAGGUCGGAGACAACGGAUAAAAGUUACCCCGGGGAUAACAGGCUAGUGAGAUCCGAGAGUUCCUAUCGACGAUCUCGCUCGGCACCUCGAUGUCGGCUCGCCCUAGCGCGGGGCUGGAGAAGGUCCGAAGCGUAUGGCUGUUCGCCAUUUAAAAGGGCACGUGAGCUGGGUUCAAACCGUUCAUGCGUGAGACAGGUUGGUCUCUAUCUGUUACGGGCGUUGACACUUGAGGGGAGUCGUCCCUAGUAGACGAGAGGACCGGGAUGAACAUACCUCUGGUCUACCAGCUUUGGUACCAACUGAAGCGCUGGGUAGCUAUGUAUGGAAGGGAUAAGCGCUGAAAGCAUCUAAGCACGAAGCCUACCCCAAGAUUGGGUGUCUGUCCGGUGCAAAUCGGACAGCGGUUCGUAGAAGACUACUACGUUGAUAGGCUCUAGGUGUAAGCAUCGUAAGGUGUUUAGCCGAGGAGUACUAAUAAACCGUC
rnacentral:rRNA from 1 species